rnacentral:rRNA from 1 species
UACGUAUGGUGCAAGCGUUAUCCGGAUUUACUGGGUGUAAAGGGAGCGUAGACGGAUAGGCAAGUCUGGAGUGAAAGCCCGGGGCUCAACCCCGGGACUGCUUUGGAAACUGUUUAUCUAGAGUGCUGGAGAGGUAAGUGGAAUUCCUAGUGUAGCGGUGAAAUGCGUAGAUAUUAGGAGGAACACCAGUGGCGAAGGCGGCUUACUGGACGGUAACUGACGUUGAGGCUCGAAAGCGUGGGGAGCAAACAGG